CCUCCCCUUACCCUCCCAAAAUUAACUUGGAACGGCGCGCAUUUUCCUGAGAGAGCAAAGCAAGCGAAAGUGCCUUCAUUUCAUCCCACACGCAACCCGCAUAGCCAUCGAGCAGUUAUAGUUGCAUCGUUUAAAUCCGAAUGUCCGGCGGUCGCGUCAUCAUCAGCCGCAAAUUUAGCGUUGCGUCCGUGUCGAAAGUGAUUUUAAUUAUUUGAACCUUCUCUAUUCGCCGAAAAAUGUUUGGCAGCGUUAAACUUCCUAACAAAUUUCUUCUUCUUUGCCUGGCAAUUAAAUGAACUUGAGCCGUUUACCCGAUAAAAUCUCGUUUGAUUAAUAUACGGAAGUACGUUCUUUACUUUGUUCUGAAAAUUAGUCUGCUAUCCAAGUCCAUCGCAGCUUCUCGUUUAUUUUCUAAAAAAAUGUUCCGAAGUGGCAAGAUUAAACUUCCAAACAAAUUGUUUCUUCUUUGCUCGAAUAUCAAAUGAAAUUUUACUCUCCGGCCUUUGAGACCCCGUUCCCGUGGUACCCCUUGCGGAUAUACUUAUUUGCGUGUGCACUGAAAAUGAGCCAGAAUUCCAAUUGCAAAAUGCAGUCCAAUUGGAGUGGUUCCUCAUUGCAAAAUGUGAGCCAAUUGUUGCGCCACCCCCUGCAAAAAGUUCCUAGCUCUGCCCAUUGUUGGAACCAUCGAAAAUCAAUCUAUCGAAUAUCGCAAGAAUGACGUACUAGCCAAUACCAAUUUAUCGAGGACUAUUUUGAAAAAUCCUUGCCGCGUUGCCAAAUCCAUUCCCUCUGUUUCAGUGACGACCCAUCGCACCUCCACUACCUCGGCCCUCGCGACAACCCCGGCCACUACGAGUGAAAGCUUCCUCUCCGAUUGAACAGUAGUGAUGCGAGCGUCUCCGAAACACCCGAUAAGAUAGCGGAUACCCAGGACUACCGGCACCCGGGCCCGGUGCUGUGUUUAUUUUGAAUUUUUCCAAGACGUCCCGACGACCAACCGCGAACACACCUCCGCUCAGAUCCGCGGUGCUGGAGACGAGUGCGUUUCGAGCCCCGGUUUAGUGCCCAUCUCCGCGUGAUAAAUUGUCUCCGCUCAUUAUCCCAUUGUCGAGCCGUUCGGAUCAUCGGCUCCCGGCACUUCGCGAGCCGUCGUGUGGUGCGCUCGCAAAAAAACCGCCCGAACUUGUCGAUCGCGAUUUUUUACGCGACUUUUGAAGCGGAAAGUUCGGUUUUCGAAGUUAUUAUCGACUCGCGGAUUUCGUUUUUCGAGUCGGAACUUUAUCCGGGCUAACCCCUCAAUCCGGAGUGACGUGUUUUCCUCGAAGGAUUGCUGCCCGAAGUUGUUACUCACGUGUAUCUCGACUUUCGAAGCUAAUGAUCCAUGAAUUUGAUGUUAGAGUUUGAACCUCGUUUCCUUCAAAUGCCUCAGUAUGAAGUGACUUUUGCCUCCUGAACUGUGGUCGAGAUUUUGAAUCUCGAAUCUUUCAACGCAAUACUUUUGGUUUUGGAGCGGGUUUAAACCAGCGAAUUUGAUUGUUCGAGUCACAUGUUAAUUUGAAGAAAUCUCUCAAUCCAAAGAGACAUUUAUUGUCAAUAUCACAAUUUUAUCAUUUGCGCUCUGCUGCAACUGGUGCAUCGUCGAAAAUCCCGAUCGAGUUUAUUUUUGUGAUUCUUACGAACUUUCAUGCGAACUUCACGCCUCGGCGACUCUUAAGAUUUUUCAAAAAUUUGAUACGCGAAUCUGACUCUUUCACCAACUUUCGUGCCUUAUUUUACCCUUGUAGUUUGCGACGUUUCCAUCAAAUUCCUCGCAUUGGAAGUUGUUAUCAAAACUUUUUUCAUGGACAUUGAUUCAUCUCGGUAGAUUAACCUACCGAGCUUGUAGGAUAGAAACCACGGACUCCCUAGUUAUCUAAUCUGAAUCAUCUACAAAAAUCUACUUCAAAAUCUACGAAGUUCAUUUCAAAUUCUCUGAAAUCGUUGCUCCAACUAAAGGAGAUUCUAGGACAUCUUUCCUACAGUUUCAUCCAAAAGAUCUAUCAUCGCUACUUUUCAGAAGCGAAUUUGUUUUUACUUCGUGUUAUCAGUACCUGGUCGAUAGGUAGUGUAAAAUUCGUAUUGAUCAAUCUGUAAAAGCCUGAAAUACUAAAUGUCUCGUCCCGCGUGAGGAGAUCGAAG
rnacentral:lncRNA from 1 species